AAACCGAACAACCGAAACAAAGCGAAAGCACAACCGGUGUUCUUUCUCUCCCUAUAACUCCUGUCAAAAAUUAUGGCAAGCACAAUAGCACAAGAUAUGUUCUCUAGCAACCUUAAUCAACCACAAAUCAACUAAUGCAACCACAACAAAAAUAAAUAGAGACACCGGUAUUUUUACGUGGAAAACCCCUUUAAAUCAAGGGUAAAAACCACGGGACUUUAGAGUCCGAUCAAGAGUUCCACUAUCAUCAAAUGUUCAACUACAAGAUCACAAUAUCAAGCCUACAACAAGCAUUCAACUCCGACAAGGCUAACAAUAUGUAAUCUUUAGCAAAAGAGAGAAAAAUGAGAGAAUAUCACCAAAAACGUAGCUGCUGAAAAAUGGGUAUUUCCGACGCUACAAGUCUCGGAUGAAAAAUCCGACCGUACAAAGUCAAGAACACCUUAUCACCUAGCUGCUGUCCAAAAAUCAGCUCAAUCGAACCACGGAUGGACCUUCGAUCGAGGAGUUGAUCACUGCUGCACCAAGCUUGAAAAACUGAUUUUUUUCUAUUCUCUCUUUUUCUCCAACGAGCUUCAAUCUCACUCUCUGUUUCUCUCUGGAUGUAAUUGAGAAUUUUGCUCUCAAUUAAGAAUGCUGCCCACUCCCACGUUAAAAGGCCAAAAAAUUGGCUUUUGACAAAAUAAAAAAAAAGGCAAAACAUUGUGGCAGAAAAUAUGGGUUUCCCACAUAGUGGGACCCAUACCC
rnacentral:lncRNA from 1 species